GGCUAUUAGACCCGACAACUAAACCAUGUACUAAAGUGCGACCGCGCGGUUUUUACGGCUGUUCGGAAUUGUGUGAAAAUAAUACUCGUGAACGCCUAUACAUAUCUACACCUACGCCCACGUCGAACUUCACUCGGCGAACGGUUAAUUCGCGUGAUUCGCAAUAUAUUAUAAUUAUAUAACAAGUGUUAAUUGUAUACUCCGCGAAACAGCGAUAAAAA